GUUCCCCCCUUUAAACAUUUUUUUUUUUUUCUAUGAAAGCCGAGAAAAUAAGUGGAGAUAGGUGGAAUUAGGAGCUGGAAUUCCAGGAAAACCUCUGACUCUUACAUGCUGGGGUGCAUUGGUAUGAUCAGGAAAACAUAGCAACUUUGCCUUACUACAGAAUUUCAGAGGAGUAAAUCUCUUUAUUUAUUCUCCCUCUACUUACCAUCAGCUCUACAUCUGAUAUAUGAAAUUCGAGCAGUCUUUAAUUAGAUUUUGGAAACUACAGAUUCUGGAAACUACAAGCUCAAUCUUCAGGUUAUUUGAUAAUGCGGCUGCUGGUAUUCACUCUAUGAAACCAAUUGUUUUAUGAAGGUAAGUGCCAUGAGGCCCUGUGCUGGCUGUUUUUAUAAUGACAGUUUUCCUGUGAAAAUAGCAGCACACUUAUACUCAGGUUCAUAAAUGCGUGCUAUUCAGAGCUUUAUACUAUACAGUCAUUUGCAAAGAAAAAACAAAACCCAGACAAAGCUCUUCACAGAGCAGUGGGUAGAUAGAGCUCA
rnacentral:lncRNA from 1 species